UGUGCUGGGCGCAGGGAAGACACAGCGCCGCCGGCCGUGGGGGAUGGACGCACUGAUUUGCUCCCUUACCCUCAGCAACCCCCCGCACCCAGGACCAGGAGCCUGUCCCUCCCACACCCUCAUCUGGCUGAGCCGCAGUAGUUCUUCAGUGGCAAGCUUUAUGUCCUGACCCAGCUAAAGCUGCCAGUUGAAGAACUGUUGCCCUCUGCCCCUGGCUUCAAGGAGGAGGAGGAAGAGAAGAAGAGGCUGCUUUCCCCUUCAUCUGGAAGGUGACAGAACUGGGGCUGGGAAGGUCUGAACAGCGGGAGUAAUAAUGCCAUUUGGAAAGGGGAACCUUGUUCAGAGCCUUCAGCCAGACUGACCCAGCAAGAGAGAACAAUUUUAGAUUAAGACUCUGGUUGGAUGGGGGAAUAGAUGACUGUGAUCACUCAAGGUUAGUUGGUCUACAUUGAUGUGACAUGGCGAAGAUAAGAGGAGCAAAGAAAACUGUCUACCCCUUUACCCAGAUGUCUUUCUUGGUCCUCCUCCUUUGUGUCCUUUUCUUCCCUACUGCCUUUCCAGGGAGGUCCUAAGUAAAUUUAUUCUUCAGGGAAAAGAUCAUACUGAAACUCCCAUCUGAGUAGUCAUCUCCAUGCUCUUACUUUUCCCUUUAUUUUCUUAUACUGGCUUAGACUCUGGAUUCAGGGAUAAUCACCUAUAUGUUGGACUCUUAGACCUCUUGUCUCAGCUUCUCCACCUGUGAGAUGGGAAAUCACAUACGUAUGCAGAAGGGAAUCAGAAGCCUACUUCUGCAGACUACUCAGAGCCUGGGCUCUCCUCUCCCUGUGGGUAGGAACAAAACUUAAGCUGUUGCUCCUCCCCCCAUCCCUGAACACUCUAACCCAAGGAGGGUAGUGGGGGAGAGUUAGAGGGAGAGGCUCAGUCCCUACAGUGAUGUCCCAUCAUGCAAAGGUGGCCCCUGGCUUCCUCUACCACCCAAAACAGGACUGCAGCCACUGAUGGGGUUCCAACUAUUGUUCCUCCGUUUCUUCCCUCACUUUACUUUCUAGGAUAGUUUGUGCAGGCAGGAAAUUAUCUCCAGCAACCAGGAGAGGUGGGUUGUGGGGUGACCCCCUUUGUUGCAUCAAGCAGUGUAAACCUACCACCCCCAGCUCCUGAUGCAGUCUAACUCUUGUGGCUCAGGCUCUGGUGUAGUUCAACCAUGGCGCAGUCUCCCUGCCUGAAGGUGGCCAAAUUCAGAAGCUGCAGGAAGCUAUCCUGUAGUGGGACAAGAGGCGUUGAGGUAGCUGGGUUUUAUUCUCUAUCUAUGAGAAACAGAUUUAGGAGAGUAGAUCAUUGAACCCACCCUUCUGCAGCCUGAGCUGGAUGUGUGUGGGACUGUGGUGGAGGGGGUGGGUAGACUGAGUCUACUCAUAGUCUGCAACAAAGAUUGCUCUGUCCCUGGACAUUGCUUCCAUCCUUUUUUCCCCUCCCCGCUUCACUGGCCACAGUGUCUCCCUCCAGCUCUGGGUAUGUGGCUCUGCCAUCCUCACCCAUCAUGAAGCAAAGAUGAGGAAGAGCAGCCUGGGAACGCAGGCAGGCAGAAGACCAGUGAAGGACCAGGCCUGGAGAACACAGGGCCCUGUCUGGGCACCCCACAGAGGGGACCCAUAAAGGCCAGGAGCACUCCAGGAGGGAGGACAGCCAGCCUCCAUCAAGGACAAGCUCCCAGCCUUCUGCUUCAUUCACUAUUUCUCUCCAGUGUUACUUACUGCCUCCCUCAGAGAUAUGAGACUGUAUUAAAGUGUCCUGUGGCUUCAUCCACCUACUACUACCUUCCUACCCUGUAGUUUUUGUUUUGGUUUUGGUUUGUUUUUUUACCCUGUAGUUUUUAUAUAAAGCAGCCUCAAGGAGCAAGAACCAGCUGUGAAAGGACAUACACAGGAAAUGCAUAGAAGAAAUUCAAAUGGAUAAAACCAUGAAAAACAAUGUAUUUCAUUAGGUAAUUAAAGAAAAAUAUAGCUGAAAGCAUUUUUUCCUUAGCAAAUUAUAUUUUUUUAAAAAGAAAAUCCCAGUAUUGGCAAAGAAGUACUAAAAUAAGACUCCUAUACAUUGCAUAUCGGCAUGCAAAUUGUUAUGGCCUUCCUGGAUGUCAGUUUGGUAAUAUGUCUCAAACACUCUAAAAGUUUCCAUCGCCUUUGACUUAGUAAUUCUACUUUUGAGGACUUAUCCUAAGAAAAUAAUUAACAAUUUAGUUACAAGAUGGUCAUCCCAGUAUUGCAAUAGAGAAAAUGAGAAGCAACUGUCUGAUUGAGAAUUCAUUUCUUUUCUGCUGUAAUGAAAAUUUGCAAUGGGGGAUUGCUUAAGUAAAUCAUUGUAUAUCCAUCCAGAUGGUGGAGUACUGCAUAGCCAUUAAAAGUCAUGCAGAAAAACAUUUGACUGGAAAGAAAAAUGCUCUUUGAAUAUUAAAAAGUUUAUUAAAAUAG